AUGACUUCUACUUCAGCUAACAACACGUUUCUUCUCAUGGCUGUUUAUGCCCCAUAUCUGAAUCAUGAGAGACGGAGCUUCUUCAAGGCUGUCAGCAGUGUUGCUAGUCCAUCCGACAUGCCCUUGGUGGUGCUGGGCGAUUUUAACAUGUACAGAUAUGCACAUGAGAAAUCCCGGGGUCAGAUCAACUGGAGUAUGAUGGGACUUUUUAACUCAUGGAUUCGAGGUCAUGGUAUGGAUGAUGUUCGGACUGAUAACAGGAUUUUCAUUUGGUCUAACAAGAGAGACCAGCCUACUCUUGUUCGUCUAGAUCAGGUACUUGUCAAUGCAGCCUGGAACCUCAGCUUUCUGCAGUCAACUGCCUCUUGCAUUCCCACAACAACGUCUGGUCAUGCUCCUGUGCUUCUGUCCUUCUCCACGAGCAUGACCAAAAGCAAGUUGUUUCGCAUGGAAAAUCAUUGGCUAGAGUUGGAGGAACCUAGAAACAUCAUCUCUGAAGCUUGGUCUCGAGGUACUCGCGAGAUCCGUUCUGAUGCGUCUCUGAUCAGCUUCAAAAUGAGGUGCGUGUGUGCUGCUUUGCAUCGUUGGUGCCGUUUGAAGCCUAGCCUGCGGGUCCUCUUGGAUAACAAUAAGCAUGUCGUUGCUUAUUUAAAUGAUGUUGAGGAGUUGAGGUCGCUUUCGGCUGUUGAAAUCUCUGGGUUUUUGCUGCUGCCAAGGCUGAACAACUGA
rnacentral:rRNA from 1 species